AUUCUAAUCCCUAACUGCUAAAUAUACCCUUGUAUUCAUCAGGCCAACUUCCAUGUUAAUCCCAUUGUGUUCUGGCAAGUGCCACUUGUAAUUUUUCAAAGGUAGCAUGUCUAAUGCUAAACUACUGUUAGAAUUCACACCGAUUGAGGGACUUUCUUAGAAGGACUACUUCUGUUUAUGCUUCAGCCAUAAGCUCCCUAGUUUCUUUGUUAUUUGAACAAUGACAAUAAUACACCCAUGUUGACUCAUUCAAUAUGGGUGAAAGUCCAUUACGAUGGGAACAUUUUAACUUUAGGGCACAGGCUCAUAAACCUUUUUUUUUACGUCCCAUGCCCCCGGCCCAUUGUCUCAAAAACGCCAUUCAUUUACUAUUAUUUACUAUUUACUAUUUUGACACCCUGUAUAGAGAAGAACUUCUGUAAUCGGCACUAACUGUUGCAAGGGCAAAUUCAGAUUUUCGAAUUGUUCGGUUUAACAAAUUUUUUUUAAUGAUACUAUAAGUAAUUGAAACAUUUUUUUGUGCAAAUUUUAUUAGCUAAUUUGAAAUUUUCUUAGGUAAAAAUAUGCAUGUGAAAAGAGUAACUGUGUACAUAAAAGGGCUUAAUUUUUAUACAUUAAUAAUACAUAAGUAUUUGUAAAUAUAAGUCGAUGUAAAAAAUAGCGAUUUUAGUUGGUUUAGUAUCUCUUUGCCCAACCUUAAAUGCCCGGUUUUUCAUUUCUGUUCAAAUUAAAUUGUGGUGUUCCGAUUUAGAAUUGUCCAAGACCCAUUUUGGGAUAUCUCGAAAUCUUUGACUGCCUCUGUGAAAAAUAAGUGGGGGUCUUUGUCCGUUUCGUCCGGGAUGGAGCGAAGUUCAUCUUGAAAAUGUUCCAAAAUAUCCAUAACUGUGCUUGACCGGCUGCCCAAUUAAUAACUUCCUGAUGUGUAAAAUCCCCGCCAAUUUGGUUUAACAAUCAAGCUUCUGAUUUGUUUUUCGGUUUUCUUUUUAGACGCUUCUAUACUCGAUCAUUCAUUGUUUUGUUGGUUCCUCCUGCCUUAGUCAUUCUAAUAGCUCAACCUUUAAUAUUAUUUUAAUCUCUUCACAAUUUUCUGUUUAACCACUCCAACUGACUAUUUAUCAUCUUAAACUAAAAGAAACAUUGCAUUUUUUAAAUUAGAUUUAUCCUCAUUUCCAACUAAUACAUUUUCUUUAUUUUGAAGUCAGUUAAGCCAUGUGCCGCAAUCAAUAUCUGUUAAUCAUACCCACGUUUUGUAAGCAGAUAAUUGGUUUCAAGUAGUGUUCUCAUGGUUGCUUAAAGGUUAACCUGCUUUAAUUUGUUUGCUCUGAACUUAAUAAUAAGAUAUCGAGUAAGAUACCCUGCGUAUCCCAUAUGUAUGUAGUAACAUUUAUAAACUGAUAACAGUUUUGAUCGUCAACAAUCAUGCAUUUCCAGAACCAAAAUCAAAUAUCUACAACCUUGUAAAGUUAGGCAACAAGAUCAUUAUGAGAAGUAACCAGAGCGGUCAUUUAUUGAAAUAAACACUUUGAUUCGUUUCAAACAACAACACACCUACACUGAUCAAGCAAUAAUUAAAAAAUUUCGUAAUUAAUCUUGAAUAUCUUUAGUCACAUUAAAGAUACACUCCAUUGUU